UCUCGUUACACGACAAUGAGCAAAGAGAGGCAGCUGUAAGGCCCAAUAUUUGCCCGGCCCGUAAUAAAAAUAAAAUCAAAACAAAUAAAAAACAAAUCACAGUCCAAAUACAUGGGCCCAAUGUGGCCCAACCUGUUUUAACCUAAACUACCCAAACACUAGCCUAGCCCAAACACUAAUCCAGCUCAACCUAGCUCAAAACAUUCCC
rnacentral:lncRNA from 1 species